UUGAUUAAUCUAAUCGUUUCCGAAAUCGCUUCUCACUCACUUAUCGCGCCUCUCACAGUCUCGCCUUCAUUUCUAAAACGCUUCUCAGUUCUGCACAUUCUAGUUCGAGUGCUUCUCACUUCCAAGUUUCUUCUUCGAGCAUAAUCUUGACGCCAAUCAAACAGUGUGACCUUCAACUACUGAACGUGGAUACCGUCGUAGUUCAAAAGGAAUUUACUAGGAGCAGCAAUUCAGUGACUUGUCCUUUAGUGAUGUAUGGACUUGUGGAUAUAUGGAUAUAUGGACAAAUGAGAUGUCCAAACUAAGGGAAAAGGAAAAGCUUCAAAUUCAGAGUAUUCAUUCUACUGGCUCCAUUCAACAUGAAACUAGCCAAAAUACCAAGCUUUAAGUUGCAUAAGUGUCUUUUUUGAUAAUUCUGUUGCGAAGAAUCAGUAAAGCCUUCUCCCUGCUGGUCCCAUGCUGCAGAGAAGUUCUAUGAAAUAAGGUUUUAUACCCCGAUUGUGAUACUAGAGACAUUGAGAACCAUUAUGUUGCAGCAUAGAUAGCUGUCUUUAGUGUUUGACAAAAUCUAUAUAGUCUUUGGUGUUUGGCGAAGUGGAAGGUACGGCGCAGCAACUUAAGAGGUGAAGGUAUAAAAUGGAAGCUACGAGGCGUUGGUUUAGUAAGUUCAGGUCGAAAAAUAAGGAAGCUACAAGCAAGGCGAAAGAAGGGUCGAAACCACCGAUCAAUGAAGAUCCGCCUUCGAAUGCAACUCAACAGAGAGUUGAAGCGGCGAAACAUUACAUAGAAAAUCAUUAUAAGAAGCAGAUGCAGAGCCUGCAGGAGAGGAAAGAAAGGUAUAACUUAUAUUUCGGGUCAUAAACCGUUCUCUUUGGUUACAGUUAAUGCUUAUAGUUAUUACUCCUCUUGCUGUCAAAAGCUUCAAGUAGCGGUACUGAGUCUUUGGAAAAGCAUAAUUCUAGCUUUUUUGUAAGCACAUGCGAAGAGGAUCGGUGUGUCUGUGUCCCUCCUCCAAGUGAAUGAAGAAUAUCUUCAAAUAGCAACUCAUCACAAGGUAUAGCCAGAGGACCACUCUCGUUAAAUCCAUAUCCUUCAUAUGCUUGGUCUAGCAGUUGUUGAAGCACUGGAUGAUUCAGGUAGUCAGCUCUUAUCACAAACCUCCUGUUUUCCUCUCCUACAGUCACAGCCAGGUGACCUCUCGGUACAUCUGACGGUGGUUUCUUCCAACUGCAGGCAUUCUUGCGCCAUGUGCAUGCCAUUUUUUAUCAGAAGGAAAGGUAGUGAAACUUACGCAUGAAUCUAUUCAUGUUGUGCUUGGAUUUGCUUCGGCAAUUAUAAGUGAGAAGGAUAUCAGGGCAGAGUUUGUGUACAAAAUGAAACACAGGCAUGAAGUGUAUGCGAGCAACUCUCACAAGCAGACAUGUGAUAAAGGUUGGAACCACAAUACAGUUUUUGGCCAAGAGGUUAUGGACAUUCUUGGUCCAAGUUUGUGGGAUGUAUGGUAUACCUCAGACCAGUGAUUAGUAUAAGCUUAACUGAUGCGGGUCAUGAUUCUAAGGAAAAGGUUUUGACGAUUCAUCCUACGAGUUCCGAGAAUUUCUCUAAAAACUAAGUAGAAAGCUGAAGAUGUUACCGGUACAACAUGUGCUUUUGUCUUGGCAAAUCUCAGCUGUGUUAGAGUCACAAUCUUGAUAGUUCCAUAUACAAAUAAUGCAAGAUCAUGUGUUAAGGGAGGCUAUGGUAAAAUCACAGAGUGAUUUGUGUCACAACAUUCUUAUCUUCAAUUAAUUUGACUUGUCGGGGUAUGAACUAUUCCAUCAAGUGGAGCCAUACAUUAACCAGGUUCAGAAACAACUUUGACUUUAAAGCCUUUGUUUCCAUAGAGAUUUAUGUUAGAUUACCAAUUAUCAUUUUGCAUCUCAAGGGUGGUUAGCUGAAAAUGCAAACGGUUCAUUCUAGGCUACCUAUUUUGUAGGUUUUAACUUAUGCGGGUAUACUCUGCUCUAUUUUGUUUAUUGACACAAUGAAAAAAUGUUUAUGAAAUGAUGGUUUAUUAUUGUGUCUUACCAUACAAUAUUAGUAUUUAUAAUGAGGUUUGAUGCUGCAAAUUGUAUUUACUAUUGUUAUAUUUUAUACUCAUAAAACAUGUUUGUGUGUGUAUACUGUACAUAGUUGAAGUGGAAUAAAAGAAUACAAGUUAUUUUGUUUAUUUGAUAUCAUUAAUUUUAAUCUUUUAUGAAGUAAUUUUGAUCAAUCUUUUUCUAUUAUUUAAGGAAAAAUUUAGAUGAGUUUAGAUGCUGAAACAUGAAAGUGAAGAUUCAAGAACAUUGAAAGUUGUGGAUAAAUUAACAUAUGUAGGAAUUUUAUAUUUUAUAUGAAAAUUCAAUAUAAAAAAUAGGAACAUGGAGUUUGAUUUAUAGUAAGAUAUUGAUUAUAUGAUUUCUUUUGUAAUUAUUAUUUUUUAAUAUAAUAUGAAAUCAAACUUUAUAUGUUAAACUAUAUGAAUUUAUUUAA